rnacentral:rRNA from 1 species
AUUGAACGCUGGCGGCAGGCUUAACACAUGCAAGUCGAGCGGAUGAAGGGAGCUUGCGCCUGGUUCCAGCGGCGGACGGGGGAGUAAUACCUAGGAAUCAGCCUGCCUGUGGGGGAGAACGUCCGGAAACGGGCGCUACUACCGCAUACGUCCUGAUGCUGAAAGUGGGGGGUGUUUGGAAAGUACGGUCUCAGAGGGACCUAGGCGGGGUUAGUUAGUUGGUGGGGUAAGGGCCUACCAAGGCGACGAUCCGUAACCGGCCGGAGAGGAUGAUCGGCCACACUGGAACUGAGACACGGUCCAGACUCCUACGGGAGGCAGCAGUGGGGAAUGUUGGGCAAUGGGCGAAAGCCUGAUACAGCGAUGCCGCGUGUGUGAAGAAGGUCUUCGGAUCGUAAAGCACUUUUACUUGGGAGGAACGGCAGUAAGUUGAUACGUUGCUGUUUUGACGUUACCGACUGAAUAAGCACCGGCUAACUACGUG